UGGGGUAUAUUGCACAAUGGGCGCAAGCCUGAUGCAGCCAUGCCGCGUGUGUGAAGAAGGCCUUCGGGUUGUAAAGCACUUUCAGCGGGGAGGAAGGCGAUAAGGUUAAUAACCUUGUCGAUUGACGUUACCCGCAGAAGAAGCACCGGCUAACUCCGUGCCAGCAGCCGCGGUAAUACGGAGGGUGCAAGCGUUAAUCGGAAUUACUGGGCGUAAAGCGCACGCAGGCGGUCUGUAAAGUCGGAUGUGAAAUCCCCGGGCUUAACCUGGGAACUGCAUUCGAAACUGGCAGGCUAGAGUCUUGUAGAGGGGGGUAGAAUUCCAGGUGUAGCGGUGAAAUGCGUAGAGAUCUGGAGGAAUACCGGUGGCGAAGGCGGCCCCCUGGACAAAGACUGACGCUCAGGUGCGAAAGCGUGGGGAGCAAACAGG
rnacentral:rRNA from 1 species